rnacentral:tRNA from 1 species
CCGCGUGGUGGAAUGGUAGACACUGGAGACUUAAAAUCUCUUGGCCGUAUGGCCGUGCCGGUUCGAGUCCGGCCGUGGGUACCAGCUUU